UCAAGAUUUUCUUUUGAAAAUGAUCAACAACUUAAUUGUAAUUAAUUGAUUUAACUUUAAUUUGGAAAUUAAUGGAACUGUUUAAAUUGAUUGUGAAACUUAAUUUCUCCCUUUAAAUAUCUUGUCAUCUUUACACAUGUAAACUAAUUCUCUCUGUUAUUUCUUGUCAUCUCUCUUUCUUUUCUCUGUCUCUCCCUCCUUUUAUCUCUUUCUCUUUUUUUUUUUUUUUUAUUUCUUCUUCUCUUCUUCUGGUGUUUGACUUUCUCCACCUUUUCUCUUGUGUCUUUCGCUCUCUCUCUCUUUUUUUUUCUUUUGUUUUGAACUGUGUGUUCCUUUCAUCAAUUUGUCUCUUUGUUUUUGUAAAUCGGUUUUCGAGUUUAGAAUUUUCUAUUUCCAAUUUUCGAUGAGCACACUAUCCAAUCCACAAUCCGGUCGAGGUACACCUUCAUCUUCAACUGUUCGUCCUGGUUUUAGAUUGAAACAAACUCCGAUCGACAAAUGGUCUAUUCGAGAAAAAUUGGCUCUCGCUUCUUCAGUCCACCGAUCGGGCGAUCAAAAUUGGUAUUCUGUUUCUCGAUCACUUAAAUGUUUCGCUGAACCAAAUAGACCGGCUGAUUGGUUUUCUCAGAAAAAUUGUGCACUUCAAUACUCAGAACUUUUAGAAAAUGUUGAAACACCAAAACGAAAACGAGGAGAAAGGGGAGAGAACACUGCUCAAGAUUUAAUUGUUCUUGAGCUUCAACAGAAACGAAUUCAAGAGCUAAAAGAAAUUUUAACACAAGAGAAGAAGGAAUGUAUUGAGUUAAAAGAUGAAUUGGAUUUCGUCAAGUCCGGUUCGGCGACUGUAGAUAAAUAUCGAGAAAUAUGGGAAAGAAUGAAAAGAGAAGAAAAAGAAAAAGAAAUCGCUGCAGAAGAACACGAGAAAUGGUUAGCCGAAAGAGAGGAAAAGAUCGCUCAAAUGUUGGCUAAACGUCACUUGGUACUGGUUCGAUCACCUAAAUCACCCAAAUCAUCAGCGAAAUUAAGUCAAGCCACUUCUCCUGCUGAAAGUGAUUUCAAAUCAAAAUCUGAGACACCAGAUAAAUCAUCUGAACCUUUAACUGUCAAGAUUGAACCUCCUUCAACGGACACUGAUAAUUCCCAAUCAACUGCUCCUCAUACACCAACACAAUCAAUUGCACCUCAACAAACACCCCAAACACCACAAACACCAGAAAAAACAAAGAUCACCCCUUCACCUGUUAUCUCUUCACCUUCCACAUCACCUUUACUUACUCAUCUAUUACAAAGUCCAUCACCUUCCGCCAGUGGAACUGUUCCUUAUAACAUAUUAUCACCUUCAACUCUUAAAGAUAUGCAACAAAAAACUCCACCAUCUUCAACUCAUUUUUUCCCUUCAAAUAUUACAUCACCAACUUUACCAAGAAGGCCAAUGACUCCAUUAUCUACAUCAAAUGUAACAACUGAACAAUUACCUUCAUCGACAAUCGAAGAAAACAAAUCACCAGUUAAAGAGAUUCCUGAACCCUCAUCAACACCAAUCAGCGGAUUAUCAUCUCCCUCUGCUUCAAUAUCAUCGCCAACUCUUAGUAAACUAUUGGAAACAUCACCAACCACAACCUCAUCAGUUAAAGCCAUUUUAUCAACUUCAAAGGAAACUGAAUCACAGGAAAUUUCAUCACAAGAUAUUGAGAUGACUGAAAUCAAGGAAGAUGCACCAGAAGUGACGGAAGAUGUUCACACUUUACCAGAGAAAAUUGAUAACGAAACUACCAAGGCUGAGACAACCAUUGAAACUGUGAUAGAAAAUGAAAUUGUUGAUAUAUCCAAGGUUGAUGAGUCUUCACAAUCAACCAUUAACGAUAAACCUGUGACCAUAGAUCUGAAUCUUAAAAAUGAAACUGAACCAACAACAUCAUCAGUAACUUCAUCAAUAGUAGAAGUGAUCAAUAGUGUUGUUGAAUCAUAUUCUCAAGAAAGUCCUGUUGAUUCCAGUACACCAAGUGAACAAAUUACUGCUGAAAUUAAACAAGAAUUAAUUGAGCCCAAAGAAUCAAAUGAAGAAACUUGUAUGGAAAUUGAUUCUAAAAAUAUUAAGAUUGAAACAAAAACAGAUACUGACAAUGUACCAUCAACACCAACGGAUUCAAAGAUUUCAACAUCUAACAAUUCAACCACAUUAUCAGCCGCUUCUCGUAAACGUAAACGACCCACGCCAAUUGUUACAACCCCUUCGACAGUACCAACUCGUCGUUCUAACCGAGUAAGAACAAUUAAGGAUAAAACAAGCUCAGAAGAGGAACAGAUAGUAAAUACAGUUGAAGAACCAAGUUCAAUUUCCACCCUAACAACCUCCUCAACCACUUCUACUACAGCAACUAUAACAACAACAACAACAACAACAUCUGCUAACCCUACCAUCACUACCACUAGUUCAACAACAACAACAUCGACAAUAACAACAACUCCAACAAUACCAGUGACAACUUCAAUGGCCACCACAGUUACCAUUGAUACUACAAAUGUCACACCUUUGGUUUCUACUGUCACAGUUGCUGCCGCUUCCUCUGUUGGCGGUAAAAAAGCCUCUGUAUCCACUCCCUCGGUUCUCCCGCCUCCACCGCCACCUCUUUCCAUUAGCACGGAAAACUCUGCUGGUGAAGAAUCAACUGACAACACCAACAUCACUUUACCUCCAACACUAAUUAAACAACCAGCCUCAGCUUCAACCACUGCACCAACAAGUAAAGCAUCUUCAGUCACCGAAUCAGCUCCCAAUAGUCCAGCUAGUGCUAUUCUAACAGCCGAAGAGAUUGAAAAUCAAAAAGAAUAUAAAAUGUGGAAAAAAUCAAUCAUGCUUCUCUGGAGACAAGCGUCAACCCAUAAAUUUUCAACACUUUUCGCUCAUCCAGUUACCGAUGGUGAAGCUAAAGGUUAUUCAACAGUUGUAUAUAGACCCAUGGAUUUAGCUUCGAUUCGUAAAAAGAUUGAAAAUGGUCAAAUUAAAACGACCGCUGAAUUCCAGCGAGAUAUGAUGUUAAUGUUUCAAAAUGCGAUAAUGUACAAUAGUGUUGACCAUGAUGUCCAUCAAAUGGCUGUUGAAAUGCAGAAAGAGAUUCUCGAAGGAAUCGAGGAUUUCAUUGAAACUCAACAGAAAUCAACAUCACCAAGCACCAAUGAACCAACAAAACCAAGAGGACGAAGGAGUAAUGUGUCAACAUCAUCAGAUGUUCAUGUAAGAAAGUCAAUUUACAAAUUUUAGAGAAAAAGAGAAAAAAAAAUAUUCAAAGAUGAAUUAAUAGAAACGAAAGUUCAAAGAAAAAGAAGGAAAGAAAAUUAUUCAAGAACCUGCAUGCAAACACGGAAAGUUAUCAUUUCAUCAUUUUCAAUCACUCCCAGGGAUCCCGAAUCAGCUGAAGUUCGUCGACGUAAACGUGUCUCUACGGAUAUCGAACCAGCACCACCACCUCCAUCAACACCAUCAUCAACUAGUAAAUCGAAGACAAAGAAAAAACCUUCCAACUAAAUCAACUACUAAUUC